GUUCAGAACGUCGUGAGACAGUUCGGUCCCUAUCCGUCGCGGGCGUAGGAAAUUUGAGAGGAUCUGCUCCUAGUACGAGAGGACCAGAGUGGACUUACCGCUGGUGUACCAGUUGUCUUGCCAAAGGCAUCGCUGGGUAGCUAUGUAGGGAAGGGAUAAACGCUGAAAGCAUCUAAGUGUGAAACCCACCUCAAGAUGAGAUUUCCCAUGAUUAUAUAUCAGUAAGAGCCCUGAGAGAUGAUCAGGUAGAUAGGUUAGAAGUGGAAGUGUGGCGACACAUGUAGCGGACUAAUACUAAUAGCUCGAGGA
rnacentral:rRNA from 1 species